GCUUUGGUAUCAGGAUGAUGCUGGCCUCAUAAAAUGAGUUAGGGAGGAUUCCCUCUUUUUCUAUUGAUUGGAAUAGUUUCAGAAGGAAUGGUACCAGCUCCUCCUUGUACCUCUGGUAGAAUUUGGCUGUGAAUCCAUCUGGUCCUGGACUUUUUUUGGUUGUCUGUCCUGCCGCUCUGUGGAGCUGCUCCUGCCAACUCAUUGCUUUCUGCUGUGCUGUGAUCCUGCAGUCAGUUGCCGCUGUUGCUACUGCAAUCAUUUGCACCAAACUGAGCCAGAGAAGUUCCCUCUUUUAACAUAAAGGGUCAAGAAAUUGGAGCAUGGCUAUGAGCAAUGGAAACAAUGAUUUUGUGGUUCUGAGCAACAGCAGCAUCACAACCAGUGCUGCUAACCCGAGUCCCCUCACGCCCUGUGAUGGAGACCAUGCAGCCCAGCAGCUCACACCCAAAGAAGCAACAAGAACAAAAGUGAGUCCAAAUGGAUGCCUGCAACUUAAUGGCACAGUCAGAUCAUCCUUUCUGCCUUUAGACAACCAAAGAAUGCCUCAGAUGUUACCCCAAUGCUGCCAUCCUUGCCCAUACCAUCACCCUUUGACUAGCCAUAGCAGUCACCAAGAGUGCCAUCCCGAGGCUGGCCCUGCAGCACCCUCUGCUUUGGCCUCGUGUUGCAUGCAGCCACACUCCGAGUAUUCUGCAUCUCUUUGUCCAAAUCAUUCACCUGUGUAUCAGACUACGUGCUGUCUUCAGCCCUCUCCAUCCUUCUGCCUGCAUCAUCCGUGGCCUGACCAUUUUCAGCAUCAGCCUGUGCAACAGCACAUAGCCAACAUAAGUUCACCAGAAAAACUAAGUGUGCUUCAUGGCUUCUUCAGAUGUGAACGUGUUCACUGAAAGCCCAGUCUGUGUAAAGCUGCUGAGCCCUCACCAGCUCACUGGAGUGGCCCUGCGCUCCAUCCCUCUAUGCACACUUGGAUAGCCCUGGCCAGCUGAGCGCUGCAGGUCGGGAGGCUGCUGUCUCCUACAGCCACACACUUCUGCUCCCAGCAUUUGAAAAGUUGCUUACCAAACCCAU
rnacentral:sRNA from 1 species